AGGGAUAACAAACUACUUUGAGAAAAUAGCCCUAUUUCGCAAAAACGACUGAUGUGGACAAAUAUGGCUAGAUAUGCAAGAUUUGGCUAAGACCCCGCGAAACCAAGAACCUAAGACUUACUAGGAAGACCGGACACUAUGUGGGCUGCCUACAUAUCCCGCCCCGAAGGACGAUAAUCAGGUAUGCGUAGUUCGUGAAGAUUGGAUACAGGAGAGAAAUUAAAAAACACUUAUUUGGAGAAAACAUUUUUUUCUGAAAAAUGAUGAAACAUGUAAAAUAUUUUUUGAUUUUUCUUUUUCUCUUUUUUUUCUUCUAAUUUUUUGAAAAUAAUGGGAAGUGCAAAAUCCUUUUGGAUUUUCAUUUUCAAAUUUUUUUUUGGCUUUUCUUGAAAAAGUUGUGAAAGAAGAAUAUAAUUGGGCCCUACUUGCUUCAUCUUUAUACCCUCAACCAUCAUUGGUCCAUCAAAUGACCUAUUUACCCUAAAAGAAUGCAAUAUCUAACACAUAGGGAUGAUCAAAUAUCUUUUUGCGCCAUUGGCCCGUUUUGACAUAAUUUGGAUAGGCCUCCUACAAAGGGACACGAUGCUUGGGACCGAGCCCUGAUAAGUGUAAAUGACAUGAUACAAAUAAGCAUGACCUAAAGGCUGACCUAAGUUUGGGUUUCACUAGACAAAGGCAAUUCGGGGCGACACGCGGUCGAUGGCUGCUCUAGCUGUCCGCCCACUCCACGCUCUCAUGCCACCCCCUAAAGACAUAGGUGAUUCACAAAAAGGUUGUGUAUGCUAUAACGUACUCUGGAAGACUUGUUGCAGAAAGAAAACUCAUGGUUAUGCAAAUGAUGACAGUUAUAAAGCGGUAAACACACAGGAAAAGCGAUAAACAAAUCACCAACAAAAUAGGAAACAAGACAAACAAAGCAAAUAAACAAAGCAAAUAAAGAAAACAAACACCUCAACCGAAUAUCCUAAAAGCCAACAAGAUCAAGUAUCAACUCGAACCUGCAACUCCCCGAUAGAUUCGUCAAAGCUAUCACACCCCUUUUUUACCUCACUAACCUUCUUAAAAUUAACAAAAAGAUUUGGAAAGCUCAAAAGGGUUUUCAAUUGGAAUAUAACAAAAAACAAUGUUCAAAAGGACUUUUUAGAGUUGCCACCUAACAUUUGAUUUCGGUGUAUCAGGUCACUGUUUUUAGAAAUAAUUUUUCCUUUUAAAACACUUUAGACUCCAAAACUAAGUCUGCACCAGAGAUUCAGGUAAGAUCAAUUGACUCGGGGAGAAUGUGUUAGGCAUUCCCCGAGUCCCGUGGAAAUCACGGUUGCGUACCCGAUCUAAUUGGCUUUCAGAAAUAUUCAAAUUGAGGUAGAAACACACAAAAAGAAAAAAUAAACAUAGAAGAGGCUCGAGAUUGCCCCACCUAAUAAAAGAAAAAUAAAAAAAAAUAAAAUAAUAAAAAGUAAAAUCCUAAGCUAACCUACACUAUACUUCCUCCACGGUAUAGUUUCGGCCUCCGUUUACAUUCACCUCGGGGCAUACCCCUGAUAAAAGAAUAUAAAAUAUAUAUAUAUAUAUAUAUGUAUGUGUGUGUGUACAAACUCUACGGGCAUUCCCCUAGAUAUAAACUAAAGGGAACGACCUCUUACCUCGAGUAAAAUAAAGGACAAGACCUAAAGUUGCCUACCCGAGUGAUGACGACCUAACAUGCUCCAAGCAGUUUAAUUAAUAAGAGUUAGAAUAAAAGAAGUGAUAAAACAUUUUAAAACCCAGUCCAGUAUGAUUUUAAUUUUUAGUCCAAACCCACAGCCCUAGACCUUUCAAACAUCCAAGCAAUCAUCUAAUCUACUCAACUUUGUUAACUUAAUUUUCCAUCACUAUACUAUUAAUCCUAAAACCUCGAAACAUUUACCUUUUAAUAAAGCAUUGCAAAUGAAACUUCAAGUUUACUUUAUCUUUUAAGAAUUCAUCCGAAUAUAAAAAUAUAUGGAAGAAACACACGAACAAUAAUCAAAAGAAGGGAAAAAAACGCAAACAAAUUCUACUAAGGCAUCACGAGCAAAAUGAAACAUUAAUUCAAAAGAUCAACAAAACACAUCAAAGAGAGAUUAACGAGAUUGGAAGCAAUGAAUUAAGCCAAAAAAUAGUACAAGAAAGGGAGAAAUAAACCUCGAAUAGAUUUGAAAUUUGACUGUUGGACAGUUUGACGAUACUAAGCAAUGGAACCGUGAAUAAGAUCUAAACCGGAAAACCUCGCUGGAAACCUCGUCGAACUCUGACCGGACUGCCUCGCUACCUCCCUUUACUCAGAUCUGAGCGUCCGCUCCUCCAUCAAAUUCUCACUUUGUUUUUGCGACCUCUUGUUGCACUCUCUCACGUUGCUGCUGCUGGUUUCCGGCGAACUCUGUGGCGUUGCUGGGAAAAGAGGGGUCUUUGAGAGAUGGGUGUGGCUAAAGCUUUUUAAGAGAGGGGUGGAGGUUGCAGCAUGGAGAAGAUGGCAAUAGCAGUAGUGGUUGUUGAUGGUUGUCGGAUUUCCGGCGAUUUGGUGUGGAUGGAGAUGGGUUUGAUAGGGGUGGCUGAUGUGCGGCGUCUGUGAGGUGAGGGAGGAAAGGUUGGAUGCAGCUAGGUUUUCUCUACUGCAUCUGUGUUCCCCCUAUUCUUUUUGUUAUUUUCUUGUCCCUCUUUUUUACUUGUCUUAUGUAUUUGUGCUUGAACAAGAAAGAAUUCUCCACUAAAAAUGUAUAGACCCCACCAUUUAUUAUGAGAAUGUUCUCACAAGUGCAUAUAUGCUCAUAAAGAUCCAAAAAAAUCAGGGACACAGGUGAAUCCAC
rnacentral:lncRNA from 1 species